rnacentral:rRNA from 1 species
GAUCCUGGCUCAGAUUAAACGCUGGCGGCAUGCCUUACACAUGCAAGUCGAACGGCAGCGACGGGGGCAACCCUGGUGGCGAGUGGCGGGACGGGUGAGUAAUACAUCGGAACGUGCCCUGGAGGUGGGGGAUAACGUAGCGAAAGUUACGCUAAUACCGCAUAUUCUGUGAGCAGGAAAGCAGGGGAUCGCAAGACCUUGCGCUCUGGGAGCGGCCGAUGUCGGAUUAGCUAGUUGGUGGGGUAAAGGCCUACCAAGGCGACGAUCCGUAGCGGGUCUGAGAGGAUGAUCCGCCACACUGGGACUGAGACACGGCCCAGACUCCUACGGGAGGCAGCAGUGGGGAAUUUUGGACAAUGGGCGAAAGCCUGAUCCAGCCAUGCCGCGUGAGUGAAGAAGGCCUUCGGGUUGUAAAGCUCUUUCGGCGGGGAAGAAAUUGCUUGGGAUAAUACCCUGAGUAGAUGACGGUACCCGAAUAAGAAGCACCGGCUAACUAUGUG